UGUUUCUGUUUUUGUUAUUGGAUUUGUUCUGUUGUUUUGAUAACUGAGAGAUUCAAAUGAUGCUAAUUAUUUUCAUGGUUCGAAUGACAAUCGUUGAGUGAUUAUAAACAUUCGUAUUCUUUCAUUAUUGUCUGAUGAACUCUUGGUUAUUUUCUUUUAUUUUUUUAUGCCAUUUUUUAAUUAACUCUUAUUAUUUUAUUGAAAAGAAUGU
rnacentral:lncRNA from 1 species